CACAUAAUUGAGCACUGUGUCAGUUUAUACUUACCAUUUAACCCAAUUUCUAAGUACUUGGUCUUGCUUCCUAAAUUAAUUUUUUAUUUUAUAAUAUUGAGUUGAAACUUUUAACCUUAAUUCCUGUUUUUUUUUUCUUAAGGUAGGAGAUUAAAUAAAUUGUUUUUCUCUUGAAUUUUCAGCUGAAAAGGAGUUGUAUCACCCAGGGCCGGAGCUACAAGCUGUUCCCUGGCCCCCUCAGCUACUUCAAACACAGUCAGACCGAGUGCUCCACACUGUUGUAGAAGCUACGUCUCAUUUGCUGUCGGCACCAUGUGCCGCUAGAAUUGUUCAAGUGUCUGAACUGCUUUAUCCUUCUCCAUGACUGUCAGAAAAGGAAUGGAGUUAAUGGAUCCCAGCCAGAUGAACUUUUCAGGUACCUGUGGAGAGAUUCAAGUGCAAUCGCUGAUUUUCUGGCAAAAUUGGAAUUGAUUGCCUCAGAAGAAAAUGAAAUGGGACAUAUGCUUAAAACAUAUGAGAUGUUAACUGGGUUAAUUUUAAUGAUAGAAAUUCGUUAACUUCCUCUUUACUUUUCAACUGUUCCUGGUCCAAACUUGUCAUACUGUGUGCCAUUUUAUUUAAAGUUUUAUCAUGUGUCCUCAUGAAAACGCAUUAUGAUUUUUCUUUUACAAGGUUAAAAAUUUUCAGCUUCUACAGUAGUUAACUUCCUGAUGAUUUUAUUACAGAAGUAGAUCAUUUUAUUGAUUUUAAAAUAGACGUGACAUGAUGUAUUCAAUAGGUCGUUCAAGAGAAAUAUGAAGGAUAGAAAGGAAAGCAGAUACCACCCUUAUUCUUUUUAGAAAUAUAUUCAUUUGCAAUUAGUUUGAUCACCUGCAAAGUGUUUCAGAGUACUUGAAAGAAUAUUAACAUGAACUAAAUGUGAUUUUUCUCUUAAUAAUUUCAUGGUGCUUAUUAAGAUAAAUAGCAAUGCUUUGUUGGAGGGCAAAGUGGAGUGGAGAGAAUCAUUGUUGUAUUUUAUGGGUCCCUCUCUCCCGUCAGCAAUAUAAUUGACAACAAGGUAUAUACAGUUAUUAGUGUGACAAGCAGCGAGUACGUCCGUAAGAGUUCAUUAAUGAAGAAGCUUGAGAGGUUUUCCCAAAUGUGACAACUCAGAAAUUUACAUGAUAUUACAAAAAAAAAAAGCCGUGAAGCUCAAAAGAAGUUUUAUAAGCUUCAAUAAUAACAAAUAGAUUUCAUCCAGCCAUGCUAGAGGAAAAUGCAUUUUUUCUCUCCCCUCUAUGGAAAAUGACAUUACAACAGUGUUUUUACAACAGCAUUCAUAUGAAAGGCCAUCAAAGAGUAUGCAGUUGAAAAUGUAGGAAAAAUGUCUUACAAAGAUGUUUAAUAUAAACUGUUUAAUU
rnacentral:lncRNA from 1 species